CCUACGGGCGGCAGCAGUGGGGAAUAUUGCACAAUGGGCGAAAGCCUGAUGCAGCAACGCCGCGUGAAGGAAGAAGGCCCUCGGGUCGUAAACCUUCGUUUUUGGGGAAGAAGAACUGACGGUACCCAAGGAGGAAGCCGCGGCUAACUACGUGCCAGCAGCCGCGGUAAUACGUAGGGGGCAAGCGUUAUCCGGAUUGAUUGGGCGUAAAGAGUACGUAGGUGGUAACCUAGGCGCAGGGUUUAAGGUAAUGGCUCAACCAUUGUUCGCCCUGCGAACUGGGAUGCUUGAGUGCAGGGGAGGAAAGCGGAAGUCCUGGUGUAGCGGUGAAAUGCGUAGAUAUUAGGAAGAACACCGAUGGCGAAGGCAGCUUUCUGGGCUGUAACUGACACUGAGGUACGAAAGCGUGGGGAGCAAACAGGAUUAGAUACCCCAGUAGUC
rnacentral:rRNA from 1 species